GUUUCUAAUAAUUAUACCUUUUAUCAUUUUCCCAUAAAAAAUAACUUUUUUAUGGGAAUUGCCAAAAUUCUUUUUAAGAACUUCCAUUUUAACCUGAGAGAAACCUUUUCACAGAGUUUUAUCAAAACUGGAAUACUUACUCAAAUUUCUAGUAAUUAUACCUUUUAUUAUUUUCCCUUAAAAAAUGACCUUCUUUAUGGGAGUCGCCAAAAUUCCUUUUAAAUACUUUCAUUUUAACCUAAGAGAAAGCGUUUUACAAAGUUUGAUCGAAAUCGGAGCCGUACCCUUUACGGAACUCCACCCAAAUCAUUUGCAAAUCAUUAUUGAAAAUGAUCAAAAUACUGUUCAAAUUUACAAGAAUCAAGAGACACGGUAUAGUGUCUCGCGCCAAGUAUAUGCGCAGCGCGAGACCGCACCGUGACUCUAUUACGCGAGUACGCGAGUACGCGAGUUGCGAGUAACCAAGAUUAUCAGAUCUCAAUACGGCUGAUCCGAUUAACUUCUAAGUAGGCUCAAUGGAAAGUUUGGGUUCGAUAUGUAUAAGAAAAGUGUUUUUAUUUUUCUCCUACGAGCUCUAGGAGCGGAGAUAUUGCAAUGCAUGCAAAGUUUUUCGAUCAAUAUAAAGAUUUUACGAUUAAGAUACUCCGUUUUCUCCGUCAUCGUCAAGUGUUGGCAAGGGGAGUCGGGGAAGGGGAGAAGAAAUGUGCUACAGAACGUUCUUCAUUGGCUAGAGACUUGGCCAAUCAAGGCACGAUAAUGUCUCGCGCCAUGUGUGAAUAUCGCCGUGGCACGAAAUGUUGCGAAUGCUCUUACUAUAUUUUGGUUAUGUUGAUUAGUUCGAUUAAUCAAUAUGCGGACACGUUUUACUGGUGCUGACGGGCAUCAUUUUUAAGGAUGAUGGUGGAAGAUUGCAUAACGUCAAAGGUGGAUGGAUGCAGAGAGGAAUUGUAAGACACGCAUAAGAUGCUCGAUACUAAUAAUCUGUGAAUACGUGUUACUGCUGCUGACGUUAAUCAUUUUUCCUUGUUUCGGCCUACAUAUAAGAAUGGUAACCUGACUGGAGGUACGUGCAUAAGUAUCAAAACGUAAAAUAUCUUUAUAUCUCCAUUCUUCCUUGUAACAUUUUGCAAACUAAUAACCUUUUAUUGCAUUUCUGUUCUUUUCUUGAUGGUGAGAAUGAAAGCGAAAGAUUGCAUGAUGUCAAAGUUGGAUGGAUUGUGAGAGGAAUGUAACGAGAAGCCACGCAUGAGAUGCUCGAUACUCUGUGGAUACGUAAUAAUCUGUGAAUACGUGUUACUGGUGCUGACGUUAAUCAUUUUUCCUUGUUUCGGCCUACAUAUAAGAAUGGUAACCUGACUGGAGCAUAUUCUUUGCUGUAUGGGCUGCUCUAAGCUACACUUCUCGACACAGCACUCUCUGCACUACUCGAAGAAAUGUCUGACUUACAAGCUUAAAGCAAACAAAAAGAUUUUCCUAAAUCAGUAAGUAAACCAUAAGUUACGACUAAUAUUGUGCAAUAUCUAUCUUGUGAUACUACUGAAGUAAUACAAUAAUGCUCGUUUAAUAAAUUCGUCAUUUCUUAUCAUCAGGUUUUCACGUAUAAUUCGCAUUCCGUUAUACUAAUUGAACAUCUUCGAUUGAGACGAAUUUUACGCGCAUCGAUUGUCGAAGGCGAAUGACUAUAUCGAUAAAACAUCGGACGUCUUUCAAGUGAGGGCUCCAAGUAAAAGUUGUAGCAAAGUACCAAUUACAAUUUUCAGCUCCAUCAUGACGAAUUAUUGACCUGUUAUGAGAAAACGCAUUAUAAUCUGCUUUGUACGCAACAAGAUAUUAUGAUCUCAAAA